UACGUAGGGUGCGAGCGUUAAUCGGAAUUACUGGGCGUAAAGCGUGCGCAGGCGGUUCGUUGUGUCCGUCGUGAAAGCCCCGGGCUUAACCUGGGAACUGCGAUGGAAACUAGCGAGCUGGAGUGUGGCAGAGGGGGGUGGAAUUCCUGGUGUAGCGGUGAAAUGCGCAGAUAUCAGGAGGAACACCAAUGGCGAAGGCAGCUCGCUGGGACGUGACUGACGCUGAGACGCGAAAGCGUGGGGAGCAAACAGG
rnacentral:rRNA from 1 species